GUUGAGGGUAUUUGGCUAUUGAAAAUGUAACAUUUUAAUUUAAUUAUGCUCAAAUGAACGAAAUGAACUAAAUGACUUGAAAAAGAUUCGUUCGUUUUGUUGAACGAGACUCAAAGAUUCAAGUCAGUAAAAUGAUCCGAUCUUCCCUUCAGUGGAGUGUAUGGGGACAAAUCCUCACUGCGCAUGCGCUAAACCUAUAUAACACGUGUUCGCGCACUUUUUCUUCCUUUGUUCCUUCUUACUCUCUCAGAGUGUGUUCCUGCUGCAUCACGAUGGUGUGGACUGUUGGAAUAAGAACCACGUGCUUCGCUUAUGCUAAUACUCCGGUCAUGAUUAUGCUGGUAUCAAAUGGGUGACCACAAAUUCACCAGACUUCAUGUCAAAAGACCAUGAAGGUCUAAUAUAGAUUAUGUUUGUACCACGUGGGUAAUCGCAAUUAUACACCGGACUCGUUGCUUGAUCUGAGAAGAACUUCAUGAACUAAUGUCCAUUGAUUGGCCACAGUGAUGGGGUUUGGGUACCAUUUUGAAGCCCUUUCCGUGCAGUGUUCAAGUGAAGCAAUUGGAUGUGUAAUGGCUCAUGCUGUACCAGCCAGUCCAGCAGAUUUCAGCAGAAGUUUUACUGAAGGCUUAUUCAAAACAUUUUUCUCCAACUACAAGCAGUUACAUUAACCAUGAUUGGAGACACAUUGCUUGUACUUGGUCAUUUGAUCUGUCAAAUUGUUUGUAUAAUCUUUGCUUAUAGCUGGCAUUUGUUACUUUUAAAACAAUAAAUUCAAACUAUGAACCAAUAACUGACUUGUAAUGGUUUUAUUUUUUAUAUGCCAGAAGGCAACAUGCCCAACAUCUUGCAGGACUGUAACUAAAUCGACUGUAACUCAUAUUUUUAAUUCUGAGUUAAAAUGCUAAUGUAUACCUAAACUACAAUCGACGUAAAAUACAAAGUGAUCUUUUACCUUUUUAAAGAAUGGUUCACCCAAAAAUGAAGAUUCUAAAGUGUAAUCGAGCUAGAAAUUGUGCCAAGGAGACUACUAAUGUACUGAAAAUUGAUGGUAGAAAAAAGGAGUAACAUUUUGAUCUGUUCUCACCCAAAAUUAAUUGGAUUUCAGAAGACAUUGAUUAAUCCACUAUCAAAUUCUUUUAUUCUGCCUUUUUGGUGACAAAUUUUUGAAGCUCCAAAUUCGCUUGCAUUGUAUGGCCCUACAGAGUGGAGAUACAUUUUGGAUGGCAUGAGGAUGAGUAUUUUUGGGUCAACUAUUUAACAAAUGAGUGAAAAAUGUCAUGUGUAUGCCACAAUGUUUUAAUUUUUCCAAUUGUACUCUGGUAACAACUGAACCUAACCACCCAAGGGCAAGGUGCCAGGACACCUUAAAUAUCGACAUAUCACAAUUGGCUAUUUCUGUAAAUUCUGAGGAAUGUUUGCUUUAGGUUAACCAAGCAAUGGAAUUCUUUAAAAGAGAGUUCAUAAAUAUACCUGGAUUUUUCAUAAAUUGACAAGUUUAACUCCGAUACAGAAGCUUUACAAUAAGGGAUUGAACAUCUGUUUCAGCUUGUCUUACUGGGUCUGGAUCGAGUAUAAAAUGGAAGCCAUUUCAAUUUCUCUGACAGAUCUUGGUGAGCAGCUUUCAAGACUACUUUACAAAAUGGUUCUUGUGUUCAAAUGUCAUUCACAGAAAGAACAAGCAAUAUUACAUGUAUAACAAUCCCUCAAAACAUCCAGCUCUGUAUUUUUUUACAAGAAAUCAGCCCAACACCCUGCUGCAAUAACUGUGUCCUCAGUGCCUGUAGUGAUGCUCAGUUGAACAACCAUGUGUUAAGAUCCAAAUAAC